GAUGAACGCUGGCGGCGUGCCUAAUACAUGCAAGUCGAGCGAACAGACGAGGAGCUUGCUCCUCUGACGUUAGCGGCGGACGGGUGAGUAACACGUGGAUAACCUACCUAUAAGACUGGGAUCACUUCGGGAAACCGGAGCUAAUACCGGAUAAUAUAUUGAACCGCAUGGUUCAAUAGUGAAAGACGGUUUUGCUGUCACUUAUAGAUGGAUCCGCGCCGCAUUAGCUAGUUGGUAAGGUAACGGCUUACCAAGGCAACGAUGCGUAGCCGACCUGAGAGGGUGAUCGGCCACACUGGAACUGAGACACGGUCCAGACGCCUACGGGAGGCAGCAGUAGGGAAUCUUCCGCAAUGGGCGAAAGCCUGACGGAGCAACGCCGCGUGAGUGAUGAAGGUCUUCGGAUCGGAAAACUCUGUUAUUAGGGAAGAACAAAUGUGUAAGUAACUAUGCACGGCUUGACGGUACCUAAUCAGAAAGCCACGGCUAACUACGUG
rnacentral:rRNA from 1 species